rnacentral:rRNA from 1 species
GAUGAACGCUGGCGGCGUGCCUAACACAUGCAAGUCGAGCGGCAGCGAGGGGUGCUUGCACCCUGUCGGCGAGCGGCGGACGGCUGAGUAACGCGUGGGAACGUGCCCCAAAGUGAGGAAUAACUGCCCGAAAGGGUAGCUAAUACCGCAUCUUAUCUUCGGAUCAAAGGAUUUAUCCGCUUUGGGAGCGGCUCGCGUCGGAUUAGGUAGUUGGUGAGGUAAUGGCUCACCAAGCCGACGAUCCGUAGCUGGUCUGAGAGGAUGACCAGCCAGACUGGAACUGAGACACGGUCCAGACUCCUACGGGAGGCAGCAGUGAGGAAUCUUCCACAAUGGGCGAAAGCCUGAUGGAGCAACGCCGCGUGCAGGACGAAGGCCUUCGGGUUGUAAACUGCUUUUAUAAGUGAGGAAUAUGACGGUAACUGAUGAAUAAGGAUCGGCUAACUACGUG